UGGGGAAUAUUGGACAAUGGGCGAAAGCCUGAUCCAGCCAUGCCGCGUGUGUGAAGAAGGUCUUCGGAUUGUAAAGCACUUUAAGUUGGGAGGAAGGGCAGUAAGCGAAUACCUUGCUGUUUUGACGUUACCGACAGAAUAAGCACCGGCUAACUCUGUGCCAGCAGCCGCGGUAAUACAGAGGGUGCAAGCGUUAAUCGGAAUUACUGGGCGUAAAGCGCGCGUAGGUGGUUCGUUAAGUUGAAUGUGAAAGCCCCGGGCUCAACCUGGGAACUGCAUCCAAAACUGGCGAGCUAGAGUAGGGCAGAGGGUGGUGGAAUUUCCUGUGUAGCGGUGAAAUGCGUAGAUAUAGGAAGGAACACCAGUGGCGAAGGCGACCACCUGGGCUCAUACUGACACUGAGGUGCGAAAUCGUGGGGAGCAAACAGG
rnacentral:rRNA from 1 species